rnacentral:lncRNA from 1 species
UUGUUGCUUUACAAGACCGAUUUCGAGACAAAAACAAUAAGCAGACGACACAAAAGCUCUGAGCCCGAGUGUUUGUUCUAAGGCUGUAACCUGUGAGAGUGAUGAUAUUUUCUGCUCUUCUUUCUGUGAGAAUCAAAUUGCAUUUUCUUGUUUUAUUUUCAGAUCCGAGCCUCAAUUUUACUCUUAAUUGCUUGUAUUUUAUAGUUAUUGUUAAAAUGGUGUCUUUGGUAUAUGAUGAAGUAUAUUUUGCAUGAUGGAAUCAGUAAUUGGUUACUAAUUUAGCCCUAUAAGAAAAGAAAGUUGGGAACUUAUUUAGGUCUGAACCAAGAAUUUUGCACACAACUGUUUGUGCUACUGAUUUUCUGUAGCUACUAAACUAACAGGCUUGCUCAUGAGGUACUCAUAAACAGAAGCUAUGAACUAUAGAUUCACUGUGUGUGUAUGUGUGUAUGGAGACUUUUUAGCUGAAAGGCCUGUGUAAGCUUUGAUUUAAGAAACUGGGGUGUGUGUGUGUUGGGGGGGGGGCCCUUUUUAGGUGAAAGGCUUGUGGAAGUCUUGAUUUAAGAAACUAGUGUAUGUGUGGAGACUUUUUAGCUGAAAGGCUUGUGUAAGUCUUGAUUUAUCAAACUAGUGUGUGUAUGUGUGUAGAAUUUUUAGCUGAAAGUCUUGAAUUGUGAAACUAGUGUGUGUGUUUUCUUUUUUCCUGAUUUUGAGUAAUUUUGCAAAAGAAGCAGUGUGAUAUUGAGGCUCUCAUGAUGAUUUUUCAGAGAAAAUAGAAGUGGGUAUUACAGUUACAGGCUUGUAUGUUGGCAGAGAAACCUAAAUCUGUGUAUAAAAAAGGCAUAAAAAUUGGAUCCUUUUAUAUACCCGCACUCUUUUUGUUGCUGUUUUAUCUUAUGUUUCUCUUCUUGCUGCUAUUGUGCUGUUUUAUGAACCAAACAGCUAGAAAUCAUUGUAAAAAAUAGCAUAAAAUGUGGUAUAUGAAUUAAAAAUGGAUCUCUUCUUAUACCCAUAACCCAUGUUUUUGUUGCUGCUGCAUCUUCUGUUUCUCUUCUUGUUGCUAUUGUGCUUUUUUUUGAACCAAAUAGCAAGAAAUCACUGUGAAGAUAAAGCUUCUCUUGAGCAAUUUGAGUUAGGCAUUGAGAUGAUAAGAGCUGUAUCUUGGCGGGGUAACCCGAAGAGGUUGCAGCCAUGGCAGUUUCUGAUAAAACCCAAUGCCUAAAAAAGGACAGCCUGGUGCACUAAGCUCCCGUUAUGCGCGAGCCGUGUCCGUGGAAGGGCCGACCACAAGGGUCAGUCGUACGCAGCCUUACCCUGCACUUCUACUUCUGUCGGAGGUUGUUUCCACUGCUUGAACCGGUGACCUCUUGGUCUCAUGACAUCAACUUUACCAGUUACGCAAGGCUUCCCUUCAAAAAAAACCAAUGCCUAAUUAAAUUGAAAUCUGAGCCUCAUUAUGUACACCAUGCGACAUUACAUAUAUUACCCCCAAACUUGUCCCGAAAAGUCAUUUACAGCCUUACCCUGCACUUCUACUUCUGUCGGAGGUUGUUUCCACUGCUUGAACCGGUGACCUCUUGGUCUCAUGACAUCAACUUUACCAGUUACGCAAGGCUUCCCUUCAAAAAAAACCAAUGCCUAAUUAAAUUGAAAUCUGAGCCUCAUUAUGUACACCAUGCGACAUAGGGAAAUUACAUAUAUUACCCCCAAACUUGUCCCGAAAAGUCAUUUACAUACUUAACUUUUCGAGAAAAAGCUCAAAAUUGUCCCUUAUCGAGACGGUGAUGAUCUUUCAAUCUAUCAUCCUUGGCUAGUCAUUGAGCAUAGCGAGUACCAACCCAUAUCUUGGCAGGGCAAUGACACGGAUGCUUGUAAUUUUAUUGCAUGCAACUCGGGUAUUUGCAGCCAUGGCGGGGCUGGACUUCCUUUGGCUAAGGAUAAAUACAGAUCUGAGCCUCAGUUCUCAUCCCAUAAUCUUACUUUUGGUGUAAUUGGCAUGGAGGAAACUCUUUCGGUCAACCAAGACUGCUGGAUUCAGAGAGUUUUGGAAAGUUCUUUGAGUGGUUUCCCCUCUUUGGCACUCUCAGCAGUCAAUGAUCGCUCAAAGUUUCCCCUUUUCACAUGACUCUUUAGCAAUUAAGUUCAAAUGAGGCAGUGA